AACCCGUGUUGUGGACACUUCGGCAAGAAGUGCUUGAAUCGCUCCCAAGUCUCAAAUAAGGAUUCAAGCUCCAUCUGAACAAAUGAAGAUAUCUCACUGCAUGCAU